rfam:Triticum aestivum genome assembly, contig: Triticum_aestivum_CS42_TGACv1_scaffold_330493_4BS
CAAAUACUCCCUCCGUCUGGAAAUACUUGUCAUCAAAAUGGAUAAAAGGAAAUGUAUCUAGACGUAUUUUAGUUUUAGAUACAUCUCUUUUUAUCCAUUUUGAUGACAAGUAUUUUCGGACGGAGGGAGUAGAAA